UACGGAGGGGGCUAGCGUUGUUCGGAAUUACUGGGCGUAAAGAGCUCGUAGGCGGUUUGUCGCGUCUGCUGUGAAAACCGGAGGCUCAACCUCCGGCCUGCAGUGGGUACGGGCAGACUAGAGUGCGGUAGGGGAGAUUGGAAUUCCUGGUGUAGCGGUGGAAUGCGCAGAUAUCAGGAGGAACACCGAUGGCGAAGGCAGAUCUCUGGGCCGUAACUGACGCUGAGGAGCGAAAGCAUGGGGAGCGAACAGG
rnacentral:rRNA from 1 species